UAUAAAAGAAAUAAUUGUUAAAAGAUGAGUUUGUGGAAGAUUAGGUUGUUGGUAGAAAUAAAAGUUUACCAAGCCUUUGAUCUUUAGUUGGUCUUAGAGGACGUACAACCACACUGGAACUGAGACAAGGUCCAGGCUAAUUUUUUGGCCAGCAGUGAGGAAUAUUGGACAAUGAACGAAAGUUUGAUCCAGCAAUAUUAUGUGAAUGAUUGACGACCAACUUUUGGUUGUAAAAUUCUUUCGUUAAAAAUGAUAAUGACGUUAUUUAAAGAAGUUUUAGUCCCGGCUAAUCUCGUGCCAGCAGCCGCGGUAAUACGAGAGGCCCGAGCGU
rnacentral:rRNA from 13 species